GACAGAGGGUGCAAACGUUGUUCGGAAUUACUGGGCGUAAAGGGCGCGUAGGCGGCCUUCUAAGUCGAACGUGAAAUCCCCGGGCUUAACCCGGGAACUGCACGUCAUACUGGAAGGCUUGAGUAUGGGAGAGGGAUGUAGAAUUCCAGGUGUAGCGGUGAAAUGCGUAGAUAUCUGGAGGAAUACCGGUGGCGAAGGCGGCAGUCCUGGACCAUUACGUGACGCUGACGGCGCGAAAGCUAGGGGAGCAAACGGGGAUUAAGAAACCCC
rnacentral:rRNA from 1 species